GGAGUUAGCCGGUGCUUCUUCUGUGAGUGAUGUCCUUCCUGCCGGUUAUUGACCCGCAGGCCUUCUUCCUCACUGAAAGUGCUUUACAACCCGAAGGCCUUCUUCACACACGCGGCAUGGCUGGAUCAGGGUUGCCCCCAUUGUCCAAUAUUCCCCACUGCUGCCUCCCGUAGGAGUCUGGGCCGUGUCUCAGUCCCAGUGUGGCUGAUCAUCCUCUCAGACCAGCUACGGAUCCGUCGCCUUGGUGAGCCGUUACCUCACCAACCAGCUAAUCCGACAUAGGCUCAUCCGAUAGCGCGAGGCCCGAAGGUCCCCCGCUUUCCCCCGUAGGGCGUAUGCGGUAUUAGCCUGGGUUUCCCCAGGUUAUCCCCCACUACCCGGGCAGAUUCCCUAUGCAUUACUCACCCGUCCGCCGCUCGCCACCAGGGAGCAAGCUCCCCGUGCUGCCGCUCGACUUGCAUGUGUUAGGCCUGCCGCCAGCGUUCAAUCUGAGCCAGGAUCAAACUCUGA
rnacentral:rRNA from 1 species